UCAUAGUUGUGAUCGCCAAUGAUGACUGAGGUUUCCACUGGGGAUUCUAGUGGGACUUGGAUGCAAAUACGAGCAUACCUUCCUCUCUGGGUGGAGGAUGUGCACUGGUCAAUUUUUAGGAGUUUGCCCAGCUUCCUUCCAGCCUUUUUUAGUAUUGUCUUGUCGUAGAACUCUGUAGGGAGUUGUGGAAGCCUUAUCCAGAUGGCAGUGGGGGUGAGAGUUUUCUCUUGAGGAACGAAUUUUGGUUCCAAUUUUUUGACUGAGAGGAAGUGACCUG
rnacentral:lncRNA from 1 species